rnacentral:rRNA from 1 species
UACGUAGGGUGCGAGCGUUAAUCGGAAUGACUGGGCGUAAAGCGUGCGCAGGCGGUUUUGUAAGUCAGAUGUGAAAUCCCCGGGCUUAACCUGGGAACUGCGUUUGAAACUACAAGGCUAGAGUGUGGCAGAGGGGGGUGGAAUUCCACGUGUAGCAGUGAAAUGCGUAGAGAUGUGGAGGAACACCGAUGGCGAAGGCAGCCCCCUGGGUUAACACUGACGCUCAGGCACGAAAGCGUGGGGAGCAAACAGG